AAGCCGAGGCGAGGCGAGGAGGUGGCGGGAGGAGGAGACAGUGGGGAAAGGUGUCAGAUAAAGGAGGGCUCUCAGGUUUGGAGGCAUCAUGGCCGCUAAGUCAGACGGGAGGCUGAAAAUGAAGAAGAGCAGCGACGUGGCGUUCACCCCGCUGCAGAACUCGGACCACUCGGGCUCAGUGCAAGGAUUGGCUCAGGGCUUGCCGUCGGGGUCGGGGGCCGAGGACGAGGAGGCCGCUGGGGGUGGCUGCUGCCCAGACGGCGGCGGCUGUUCGCGCUGCUGCUGCUGCUGCUGCGCCGGGAGCGGCGGCUCGGGCGGCGGCUCGGGGGGCUCCGGCGGCCCGGGCGGCGGCGGGGCGGGCUCCGCGGCGCUGUGCCUGCGCCUGGGCAGGGAGCAGAGGCGCUACUCGCUGUGGGACUGCCUCUGGAUCUUGGCCGCCGUGGCCGUGUACUUCGCGGACGUGGGCACGGACAUCUGGCUCGCCGUGGACUACUACUUGCGCGGCCAGCGCUGGUGGUUCGGGCUUACGCUCUUCUUCGUGGUGCUCGGCUCCCUCUCCGUGCAAGUGUUCAGUUUCCGCUGGUUUGUGCACGAUUUCAGCACCGAGGACAGCGCCACAACCGCCGCCGCCUCCAGCUGCCAGCAGCCUGCAGCCGAGUGUAAGACCAUGGUUACUAGUGGGUCUGCAGCCGCGGAAGGCGAGCCUCGCCCUUCCACGCCGCAAAGGCAAGCAUCCAACGCCAGCAAGAGCAACAUCACCUCUACCAACACUGGCAGCAACAGCGGCGGGGCCACCGGGGCCAGCGGCAAACACAGGUCUGCCUCCUGCUCCUUCUGCAUCUGGCUCCUGCAGUCACUCAUCCACAUCUUGCAGCUCGGGCAAAUCUGGAGAUACUUCCACACAAUAUAUUUAGGUAUUCGAAGCCGACAGAGUGGAGAGAAUGACAGAUGGAGGUUUUACUGGAAAAUGGUGUAUGAGUAUGCAGAUGUGAGUAUGCUGCAUUUGCUAGCCACCUUUCUGGAAAGUGCUCCACAGCUGGUCCUGCAGCUCUGCAUUAUCGUACAGACUCAUAGCUUACAGGCCCUCCAAGGUUUCACAGCAGCAGCCUCCCUCGUGUCUUUGGCUUGGGCCUUGGCCUCUUACCAGAAGGCCCUCCGGGACUCUCGAGAUGACAAAAAGCCCAUCAGUUACAUGGCUGUUGUCAUCCAAUUCUGCUGGCACUUCUUCACCAUCGCUGCCAGGGUCAUCACCUUUGCCCUCUUUGCCUCAGUUUUCCAGCUCUACUUUGGGAUCUUCAUCGUCCUUCACUGGUGCAUCAUGACCUUCUGGAUUGUCCACUGUGAGACAGAAUUCUGUAUCACUAAAUGGGAAGAGAUCGUCUUCGACAUGGUGGUGGGUAUCAUUUACAUCUUCAGCUGGUUCAAUGUCAAGGAAGGCAGGACACGCUGCAGGCUCUUCAUUUACUAUUUUGUGAUCCUUUUGGAAAAUACAGCCCUGAGUGCCCUCUGGUACCUCUACAAGGCUCCGCAGAUUGCAGAUGCGUUUGCCAUCCCAGCGCUGUGUGUGGUGUUCAGCAGCUUUUUAACUGGCGUUGUUUUUAUGCUAAUGUAUUAUGCCUUCUUUCAUCCCAAUGGACCCAGAUUCGGGCAGUCACCAAGUUGUGCUUGUGAGGACCCAGUCGCUGCCUUCACUCUGCCUCCAGAAGUGGCCACAAGCACUCUACGGUCCAUCUCCAACAACCGCAGUGUUGUCAGUGACCGUGACCAGAAAUUUGCAGAGAGGGAUGGGUGUGUACCUGUCUUUCAGGUGAGGCCCACAGCCCCAUCCACCCCGUCAUCUCGCCCACCACGGAUUGAAGAAUCUGUCAUUAAAAUUGACCUGUUCAGAAAUAGGUACCCAGCAUGGGAGAGACAUGUUUUAGACAGAAGUCUCCGGAAGGCCAUUUUAGCCUUUGAAUGUUCCCCAUCUCCUCCAAGGCUACAGUACAAGGAUGAUGCUCUUAUUCAGGAGCGGUUGGAGUAUGAAACCACUUUAUAAAACAAAAGGAAUUGGAGGAGCCACAACCUCCAGAUGUAGGGGUGACAACAGGGCUGUGGCAAUAAUGAAACUUCAUCCUAGAGUAGGGCAACGAACUGUCAUGCUCUUAGUCUGCGCAUUGUCAUGAUUAUUGUCUGACCCUCCAUCAGCUGACUGUCUGCUGCUGGUCUCCUUUCAAAACAGCAGCCCCGAGAGUCUCCUGCUCCACCUGAAGGGAACAUGGCAGCUCAGUAGACUCCUGGUUGCUACCAACUCCUCCUGCAUUGUCUUUCAGUGACUGCACCAGAGGGUACUAUGAUUAUGGAAAAUGUUGCCUCUGAUCAAUAGGGUUUUGAUGGAAUUAACUGAUCUUUGCAUUAAAAUAUAUCCAAUCAUACACAUACCCACACACGUACACAUACACUAACACACACAACACCAGUCUUCUGUAAAAAUAGCUUAGGUGAUUUUUUCUUGAUGCAAAGUGCUAAUUCCCACAAGAAUAUAAAAACAAAGAGAGAGGCAAUAGAUCCCUCAAGACUCCAGAAAAACAAACAGUACCGCUUAGAAAAAACUCACAAACCGUUCUCAUUUGGAAACCCAUGCCAUGAGUGAAAAGCCUAACCAGUGGACAGCAAACUCAAGUGUGUUUACAUGUGUAUUAGAAUUGAUGAAAUGGUUUGUUUUCAACGCAUUUCAGGAUUUUUUUUUUAUUUAAAAUUUUCAGUUGAGGACAUCUUUUAUGACAGAAAUCCUAUGCAGCACGUGUAUAGCUUUUGGCAAGACCAAGGAGCUCCAUAACUUAGUGAUGUAAAUUAAAUGGUAAUCAUGAUUCAGUAUUCAAUUGCAAAAAUUUAAUAAAUGCAGAAAGAGGAAAUGGGGGAGAAAGGCAAAAUGAGCAUCUGAUUUCCCGGCUGUGCAGCUCAUAUUGGAACGUAAAAGCAGAGCAGCAGGAGAGAAUUAGCCGUAACUGGAUGCAUUCAGGUCGCGGAAUGUAUGGUGGCUCUGUGACCACAGGCAGGCGCAUUUCCAGAACAUGCCAUGCCCCAUCUUUCUAAUGCCAAACAUUGUCCAACCACCGGAUUGACAUGGAAGCCCUGAACAACUAACUGAGAAUGAAUGGCAUGAGCCCCACAAAGGCAGAAGGUAGAAUGAACAAGCAAGUUCUCCACUGUGUACAGAUUCCCCCUUAUCCACCAAUUCAAGGUCAAAGGCUUUUAGAGGCUUUGGGACACUUCUUAAACCAUCUUGGAACUUGUCAAGCUUUACUGAAGGUGAUUUGCGUUAAUUAAUUCAACAGACCCUUUAAUCUUACAAAUUCUUGACUUGUAAUAUUGUAGCCAAGCUACUGCAAGGGAAAAUUAAUCAGUUAGUGAAAAGGAGCACUUCGUUCCAUGUCGUGCGGUGAUGUGCCCAGGCCUGAAGAGAAAGACCCCCGUGAGGCAGAGCACUAAUGAAUUCAUGCUACCUGCUUCCUCAUCAUUCAUGCUAUGAAUAUUCAUCCACUUCAUUAGUUUUGGCCAGUAAGCACUGCUUUGAAAAAAAAAGGAAAAAAGUCAAUGGAUUCCUGGGGGCUUGCAUAGCUCAGAGAAGGGGUACUGGGUCAUAAGACUUACUUUAAAGGAAUACAAAUUUACUUGUGUUUGGAAAUGAAAAAAAAAAAAAUGUCAUUGUCAUCUGUUUAAUGAUUGAUUUCUCUGAGUACAAUUGCUGCCCUUCAUUUCUUGAGAGUACCAUCGUCAGCACUGUAAUAACAAGUUUAAAAAAGCUGAAUUUAUAAUUCAAUUUCAGAGGUAAAAUCUGCAUGAUGUAGCUAUUGAAUAAUUUGACUCCUGGCUUCCUAGGUGGUGACAUUGCCAGUUUCAAACCGAAAUUCAUUUGUGUGUGGAAUUGGCUCUCCUGUUGCUUCUCGGACCCUUGCAAAAUCUUGGUUGCGAGCUCUAAAAUCACCAAUCUCACAUUCUUAAUGUAAUUACAAGUAAACAGGUACUCUCAUAAUUAAAAAUCAUGUUUUUUUUCCAAUCGCUUCUGUUUAAAGAAAUCUUUGAGCUGCAAGGUAAGAAUGAAUUUACUUCACGUAGAAAUAUAGUUUCAGAGUUUGCAAGGAGUCAGGCAUCCAUAUGUUGUUAUAAAGUUUUCUGUCUAACCUUUUGAUAUAACAAUUCUAGAAGUUAACCCCAAAUGAAUGAGUGAACGUCAUCGGAGUUAUCUAAUAAGCAAUCUAACAAAAAAAUUAGAAGAAGAAGCAGGGAUCAUUUUUCUUGUGUUUCAAAGAUGUUUCUCCUUCCUAAGUUAUCUCCUUGGUGAUUAUCUCCAAGAUGUACCAAGAGCUAUUGAGCGACAGUUCCAGUACAGGUGCCAGUAUUGUGCUGCAUUCCCUACUCUGGCAAGUCAUUUUUCAAAACUAGCUCUUGGCACAAGUACUGAAAUUUAAUGGUGAAAAAGUGGCCUACCACCAUGUGACUUAUUUUCAAUUGCAAGGCAAGGAAAACUAACAAGUUGAAGAAAAUGUUAAUUUCCUAAACUCCAAAGCCAAAAUUGGCACAAAGAUACCCUGUAAUGUACAGUGAGUUGAUUGACUAUGUGGACACAGGAGCAAUAAGCAAUCCUCUUAAAAUAGGCUCAUGAGUAAGAGUGACUGUGAGUGGUAUUGGAACAGAAGCUUUCUAUUAAUGUAGAGGUCCGGGUGUGGUGACUGAAGAGGAAACUUGUUAGUGGCUGAUCAGUAAUAUUUGCCUUUUUAUAGAGCAGAGGUUCAAGGUAGCCCCUGCCAUUUUAUAACUAUGACAAUAGAUGCGUCUGUUUAUGAAAGGCCAAGGCAUGACUGAAGUGGAAAGAUAGAGGAGAUGUCAGUGGAUUCAUGUCUGAGACUAACUGUCCUUACGGGAGUUUUCCCGUGUGACAGUUCUCCUUAGUCAUUGGGCCCGACACCAUAAGCCAGCUCUGCAUGCCAGGAGCUUCUGAUGGAUUAUAAAAUGAGUUAUUUUAAGGAAUUGUAAGUACUCUUGCUUGUAGAACAUGAACCAUUGAGUUAUCCCUCAUGUUAACAACAAUGCGAUUCAGGGUUACCAUGGCCUUACUCAUCACCCCAUUGUAAAUAUAUCAUGACAUCACAAGAACCUUUGUGUUCAAAUUCACUGAACUAGGUUUAAAGUAUUAGCUGAAUCAUUUAAACAUCUUCGGAACUUGAUCCUGCUAUCACCUAUUCUGUGCAUCUGUCCCUAAACUGGAAAAAUAAUUCUUGUGAGAAUAAUUUUCAGAAUAAUAGAAGUGAAAAAGAGUGGACAGUUAAGCAAUUUGUCAAUGUAGGCAAAACUACUAGACCAUUGAUAGUCCUAAAGCUCUGAUUUUUCCUCAUCACAGAGUUUCUUUACAUUCGGGGCUUUCAACAUCUGAAUUUUCCAGAUGAUUGCUGAACCAUCUUCACUAAACUGCAGUAGACACUUGUUAUUAUUAAAAAGUAAAGACUGUCCAUGUGAAUGCAAAUAUCCCAAUGAAAAAUGAAGAAGUAGGUUACUCAAGGAGCAAAUUUGGUAUUUGUGGUGUCAAACAUUUGGAUAUUUAGGAAAAUCCGGAUGUUUGAAUCAAGCAGUUUUCAUCUGGUUAUCUGGUACUGUCUAGAGAGACAGAAAAUACUCAGGUGUUGUAGGUAAUAUAAUUUAACUUUCUUGUGCAGUAAUCUAUUGCUGGUGAUAUUCUGCUGCUAAAAAUCUUUUUGUUGUACAAAGAGAAAUAAAUAAUGCAGAGCAAAUGCUAUUUGAUUUUUAUUUACUUUCAGCAAACACAUCAAUGGGAGAGGUUUGAGAGGCUGUCCUGGGUGUAUUCAGAUGUUUUUGCACCACAGACCUCCUUCAGAGUGACAGUCCUGGAGGCCUGCCACUUGACCCCUUCCUAGCAACAAACCUUUUAAUUCAGCUCUUUUCUCAUCUUUCAUUAUUUUAUAAUUGCCUCUCUGCUCUUCACAUACUCUUAAUCAUUCACAAAGUUUACUUGACAGAAUUGUUCAAGGGAAAUACAAAUUUGUUAACUUUUAUACUUCAAAUCAGAAUUUUAAUUUUAAGGAUUUCUUAUACCUUUAACCAUAAAAGCAGUUUAAACUGCUUGAUGCAAUUAUUUCAUGGCGAAUUUCAUAGUGUCUAUAGAAGUAAAAGCUAUUUUUCCCCAAAUUAAAAAAAAUACACUUUUUUGGUUUAGUUUGGUUUGGUUUGUUGAUGUCAUUUUGAUUGCCAAGGACUAACUGGCUAUCACACAUUGGAAUAUUAGUGUUUUCUUUGUAGUCACAGGAAAAAAAAAAGAUGAAAUUGAAGGGAAAUAAAUUCACUAACCAGAAGGGCAGUUUGAGAUAGUCAUACAACUCUUGUAUUUAUGAUUACUUGUGGACAUUUCUUCCUUGUUUCAUCUGAUUUGGCUCUGGAUUGAUGAGUGUGUAUUUCCUCAUCAAUCAAAUUGUGUGCUUACCUCACUUACUGUUCUGAAGCUGGGCAGAAAAACAGACAAGCUUAUUCAGACCAAUUUUCUUUUAAGUGCGCUUAUGUUGCAGAACUUGCUCGGGGCACAGAAGACAGGUAGAUACACAGAGCACUGAAAGGUGCUAUGCAAAGAUCAUGAGAGGAUUUCCAGAGAAAAUUUGAGAGUUUGUAGGUUCUUAGGUAGUGUUUUGAUUGUGUCAAAUUCUACUUUUAGUGCCAACCUAGAACGACUUCAUGGAGCAGGCAGUCCCCUUCCUUGUAGGGUCCCUCCUCCCAUCAGAUGCAGAAAUUUCCCAAGGAAUCAAAAAGAUACUCCACCUUGUGUACCAAAGGCCUCCAGCCACUGGGUGUCAUUGUUCUAUGCUAAUUGUGUUUUGUAAAUUCUUUUGAGGGCAGGCCUUUUUGGCUUGUCAUAGUCUACUAACGCUCCAGGAGACAGAUCUGCUACUCCUAAAUCCAAUUUGGUUUUGCUUUUUCCUUGAGAUUUUUACUUCACUAAAUCCUUUUCCAAAUCUUUUUACCUUCAUGUUAUUGACAGGAUGUUUAGUUCAAUGUUUAGGUGAAUUUGCAACCAAGAGGCAAUCAUUUGGCAACUACAAAAACACUAGGUGUUUUUUGUUCAGUUAUCUAUUAUUAUGUGAUAAUUUAAUGGAAUUUAUGGUUUAAUAGAAAACUAAAAGUCCCUGUGUUGAAUAUAAGGACUUUUAAAUAUACUUAAAUAUUUUCUAUGACACAGUAUCCUUUUUUUAAAACAGGACUUUAUUGGGGAACAGUGUGUACUUCCAGGA